UUCUGUAAGGGCACCAGGUGCAGGGCCAACACCCUGGUGGCUGGAAAACCACAAGCAGCAGGCAGGGGUGGCUUUGCUUCUAGCUGCUCCGUGAGGAGGUUGGUGUGCUGCCCGGCCUGGGAUGACUGCACUCCCAAGACCGCAGGCUUCUCCUCGGGGAGCGCUUCAGCACUAAAUAAACCAGAUUUUAUUUAUUUAUUUGACAAAGAGAGAUCACAAGUAGGCAGAGAAGCAGGCAGAGAGAGAGGAAGGGAAGCAGGCUCCCUGCUGAGCAGAGAGCCCGGAUGCGGGACUCCAGCCCAGGACCCUGAGAUCAUGACCUGAGCUGAAGGCAGCGGCUUAACCCACUGAGCCACCCAGGCGCCCGAUGCUCACUGUUCUUUAGCACAGCACACUCUUUUUGGCCAGAUCCUGACUUCUUGAUCAUAGUUCGAUAUCUGAUGCCAUCACAUCUUCUGGGAAGGCAUACCCAAGUAUCGACAUGGUCUCCAGGAAGUUGCAAAGGCUGUACAGGGAGGUCCAUGCACCGUUCACCCAUUUUCCCCUAUGGUUGCACCUUGCCUUACCCCAGAGCAACAGCAAACGGGCGACUGAGAUUGUGGACAUGUGGAUAUAGUUCCAUGUGAGCGUGUCACACAUGUGGCUUUCUGAAACCACCACCUCAAUCAAGACAUAGAACUAUUGUCAUGACAAAGAUCACUCUUGUCCUAACUCUUCACCCCCGCACCAUACAAAACACAGUUUGCAUUUCUGUACCUGUAGGCACUCUUGUCCUAGCCCUUCCCUGCCCACCCCCGCACCACCAUCCCUGACUCCUGGCAACUGUUAGUACAUUCUCUGUCUCUAUACUUCCAGCAUUUCAAGAAUGUUGUAUAAAUAGAAUCAUACCGUAUGUGAAGCUAUUAACAUUUAAUGUCAUUAUUGCUAUGUUAGAGCUUAAAUCUGCAAUUUCGUUUUCAGUUCACUACUUGUUCCCUCUGUUUUUCAUUUCUGUUUUCUUUUGCCUGCCUUCCCAAGGGUUGCUUGAACAUUUAUCUGUAGUGUUUUUGAUUGUAUCUCUCUCUCUCUCUCAGAAAGAGAGAGAGAGAGAAGAAGA